rnacentral:rRNA from 1 species
UACGUAGGGGCCAAGCGUUGUCCGGAAUUAUUGGGCGUAAAGAGCUCGUAGGCGGCCCAUCAAGUCGGAUGUGAAAUCUCAAGGCUCAACCUUGAAAUUGCAUCCGAUACUGAAGGGCUUGAGGCAGGUAGGGGAAAGCGGAAUUCCUGGUGUAGCGGUGAAAUGCGCAGAUAUCAGGAGGAACACCAAUAGCGAAGGCAGCUCGCUGGGACGUUACUGACGCUGAGACGCGAAAGCGUGGGGAGCAAACAGG